rnacentral:rRNA from 1 species
UAGGGAAUCUUCCGCAAUGGGCGAAAGCCUGACGGAGCAACGCCGCGUGAGUGAUGAAGGUCUUCGGAACGUAAAACUCUUUUAUUAGGGAAGAACAAAUGUGUAAGUAAAUAUGCACGUCUUGACGGUACCUAAUCAGAAAGCCACGGCUAACUACGUGCCAGCAGCCGCGGUAAUACGUAGGUGGCAAGCGUUAUCCGGAAUUAUUGGGCGUAAAGCGCGCGUAGGCGGUUUUUUAAGUCUGAUGUGAAAGCCCACGGCUCAACCGUGGAGGGUCAUUGGAAACUGGAAAACUUGAGUGCAGAAGAGGAAAGUGGAAUUCCAUGUGUAGCGGUGAAAUGCGCAGAGAUAUGGAGGAAAACCAGUGGCGAAGGCGACUUUCUGGUCUGUAACUGACGCUGAUGUGCGAAAGCGUGGGGAUCAAACAGG